rnacentral:rRNA from 1 species
UGGGGAAUAUUGCACAAUGGGCGCAAGCCUGAUGCAGCCAUGCCGCGUGUAUGAAGAAGGCCUUCGGGUUGUAAAGUACUUUCAGCGGGGAGGAAGGGAGUAAAGUUAAUACCUUUGCUCAUUGACGUUACCCGCAGAAGAAGCACCGGCUAACUCCGUGCCAGCAGCCGCGGUAAUACGGAGAGUGCAAGCGUUAAUCGGAAUUACUGGGCGUAAAGCGCACGCAGGCGGUUUGUUAAGUCAGAUGUGAAAUCCCCGGGCUCAACCUGGUAACUGCAUCUUUGACUGGCAAGCUGGAGUGUCGUAGAGGGGGGUAGAAUCCCAGGCGCAGCGGUGAAAUGCGUAGAGAUCUGGAGGAAUACCGGUGGCGAAGGCGGCCCCCUGGACGAAGACUGACGCUCAGGUGCGAAAGCGUGGGGAGCAAACAGG